rnacentral:hammerhead_ribozyme from 1 species
AUCCAGCUGAUGAACCCAAAGUAGGACGAAACAGGUGUCCUGGAU